rnacentral:lncRNA from 1 species
AUGUUUAGUAGCCAAUUUUUUACUCAAACUUUAACAGAUUCUUCAAGUACAGAAUCUGUAAGAGAAAUAAAGACAAAUAAAAAAUAUAUGUUUAUGGAAAUUAUUAAAAUGCUUUCAAUCAUGAUUUUAUUUUUUAUUUCUUCUUACUUUGCAUUAUGUUAUAUUUUUAACUAUUUUAUGGGUCAACAUAACAUAUGUGUUAAUCUGGAUUUAUACAAUUAUAAAUACGAAAAUAAUGUACAUUUUAUUCCUAGCAUUAGUAACAACAAGUAUUAUGUUUUUACAGGAAAAUUUCCAUUUGAUGUUAUAACACAUAAACUCAGAAAGGACAUUCUUAAAAAAAGUAUGAAUGAGGAAAUCGUUAAAUAUAACAAUGAAAAUCCAAAAAAUAGUAUUGAUCUAAUUUCUAAUUUAAACGAUGAUGUAAUACAGAUAAUUUCUUUUAAUAGAUCUGAUAAUCAACCGAAAUGUGAAAAAAAAAUUUUUGAUUUAUAUAAACCUUUUUAUUUAAAAACAGUUAGUGCUGAUGUUAAUAUAAAUAAUUUCAAUUUUCUGUUAAAUGAUAUUAACUACAAAUUUAUAACAAAUCCUUAUAACAUUCCUGAACAUAAAGUAAGCACACAACGACUUAUGCAGAAAUAUUAUUAUAUAUCGGAAAGUUAUGGAAAAUAAAAUGAACUCACCUGUGUGGAUGUUACGUGUGGAUAUUACAUAUGUAUGUUACGUAUGUAUGAACUAGUCAUAUAAAAAGCGAAUUUUAUGUUUGCUAGCCAUACAUACGCAUUUGCACAUAUAUAUGUAUACAUACCUAUAAACACAUUUUUUUUUUUUUUUUUUUUUUUUUUUUGCACAUUCUAGCUAUACGGAGAAGUAUCAAAAUUUAUGAACAUAAGCGAGAAAAAAAAAUAAAAUUUGUUACAUAACGUCUUAUUUAAAGUCU